GUGAAGAACGUAGCGAAAUGCGAUAAGUAAUGUGAAUUGCAGAAUUCAGUGAAUCAUCGAAUCUUUGAACGCACCUUGCACCCUUUGGCAUUCCGAAGGGUAUGCUCGUUUGAGUGUCAUUGUACUCUCACACUCUCCGAUCCUAUGGAUUCGGGGAGCGGUGGACUUGGGUGUUGCUGCCUUUCCUUGUGGCUCACCUCAAAUGUGUCAGUGCACCUCUUGGUUGGACAUAGUACGGCGUGAUAAGUGUCUUCGCCGGCACCUCGCAAGAGGGUGGCCGAUCGGGAGCUCUGUGCUUUCAAACCGUCUUCGGACAAUUUCUGACAACUUGACCUCAAAUCGAGUAGGACUACCCGCUGAACUUAAGCAUAUCAAUAGCGGAGGA
rnacentral:misc_RNA from 1 species